GCGCUGACGAGUGGCGGACGGGUGAGUAACGCGUAGGAAUCUGCCUUAUAGUGGGGGACAACGUGGGGAAACCCACGCUAAUACCGCAUACGCCCUACGGGGGAAAGGAGGGGAUCUUCGGACCUUUCGCUAUGAGAUGAGCCUGCGUUGGAUUAGCUAGUUGGUAGGGUAAAGGCCUACCAAGGCGACGAUCCAUAACUGGUCUGAGAGGAUGAUCAGUCACACUGGUACUGAGACACGGACCAGACUCC
rnacentral:rRNA from 1 species